rnacentral:rRNA from 1 species
CCUACGGGUGGCUGCAGUGAGGAAUAUUGGUCAAUGGGCGGGAGCCUGAACCAGCCAAGCCGCGUGAGGGAAGAAGGUACAGCGUAUCGUAAACCUCUUUUGUCAGGGAACAAAGGCGGCGACUAGUCCCCGGAUGAGGGUACCUGAAGAAAAAGCAUCGGCUAACUCCGUGCCAGCAGCCGCGGUAAUACGGGGGAUGCGAGCGUUAUCCGGAUUUAUUGGGUUUAAAGGGUGCGCAGGCGGCCGGUUAAGUCAGCGGUAAAAUCGCGGGGCUCAACCCCGGCGAGCCGUUGAAACUGGAGAGCUGGAGUGGGAGAGAAGUACGCGGAAUGCGCGGUGUAGCGGUGAAAUGCAUAGAUAUCGCGCAGAACCCCGAUUGCGAAGGCAGCAUACCGGCGCCACACUGACGCUGAGGCACGAAAGCGUGGGUAUCGAACAGGAUUAGAUACCCUUGUAGUC